rnacentral:rRNA from 1 species
GAUGAACGCUGGCGGCGUGCCUAAUACAUGCAAGUCGAACGAAACUUCUUUAUCACCGAGUGCUUGCACUCACCGAUAAAGAGUUGAGUGGCGAACGGGUGAGUAACACGUGGGCAACCUGCCCAAAAGAGGGGGAUAACACUUGGAAACAGGUGCUAAUACCGCAUAACCAUAGUUACCGCAUGGUAACUAUGUAAAAGGUGGCUAUACUACCGCUUUUGGAUGGGCCCGCGGCGCAUUAGCUAGUUGGUAGGGUAAAGGCUUACCAAGGCAAUGAUGCGUAGCCGAAUUGAGAGGUUGAUCGGCCACAUUGGGACUGAGACACGGCCCAAACUCCUACGGGAGGCAGCAGUAGGGAAUCUUCCACAAUGGGCGAAAGCCUGAUGGAGCAACGCCGCGUGGGUGAAGAAGGUAUUCGGAUCGUAAAACCCUGUUGUUAGAGAAGAAAGUGCGUGAGAGUAACUGUUCACGUUUCGACGGUAUCUAACCAGAAAGCCACGGCUAACUACGUG